AGGUGGUGCAUGGUUGUCGUCAGCUCGUGUCGUGAGAUGUUGGGUUAAGUCCCGCAACGAGCGCAACCCCUAUCUUUAGUUGCCAUCGGGUUAAGCCGGGAACUCUAAAGAAACUGCCAGCGUAAGCUGCGAGGAAGGUGGGGACGACGUCAAGUCAUCACGGCCCUUACGUCCUGGGCCACACACGUGCUACAAUGGUAGGUACAGAGGGCAGCUACUGGGUGACCAGAUGCGAAUCUCUAAAGCCUAUCUCAGUUCGGAUUGGAGUCUGCAACUCGACUCUAUGAAGCUGGAAUCGCUAGUAAUCGCGCAUCA
rnacentral:rRNA from 1 species